rnacentral:rRNA from 1 species
UACGGAGGAUCCGAGCGUUAUCCGGAUUUAUUGGGUUUAAAGGGUGCGUAGGCGGCCUUUUAAGUCAGCGGUGAAAGUCUGUGGCUCAACCAUAGAAUUGCCGUUGAAACUGGGGGGCUUGAGUAUGUUUGAGGCAGGCGGAAUGCGUGGUGUAGCGGUGAAAUGCUUAGAUAUUACUCAGAACACCGAUUGCGCAGGCAGCUUGCUAAUCCGCAUCUGACGCUGAUGCACGAAAGCGUGGGUAGCGAACAGG